rnacentral:rRNA from 1 species
CCUACGGGAGGCUGCAGUGAGGAAUAUUGGUCAAUGGACGAGAGUCUGAACCAGCCAAGUAGCGUGAAGGAUGACUGCCCUAUGGGUUGUAAACUUCUUUUAUAAAGGAAUAAAACGAGGCACGUGUGCCUUUUUGCAUGUACUUUAUCAAUACGGAUCGGCUAACUCCGCGCCAGCAGCCGCGGUAAUACGGAGGAUCCGAGCGUUAUCCGGAUUUAUUGGGUUUAAAGGGAGCGUAGAGGGGUUGUUAAGUCAGUUGUGAAAGUUGUCGGCUCAACCGUAAGAUUGCAAUUGAUACUGGCAGUCUUGAGUGCAGUUGAGGUAAGCGGAAUUCGUGGUGUAGCGGUGAAAUGCUUAGAUAUCACGAAGAACCCCGGUUGCGAAGGCAGCUUACUAAACUGUGACUGACGUUGAUGCUCGAAAGUGUGGGUAGCAAACAGGAUUAGAUACCCCUGUAGUC